rnacentral:rRNA from 1 species
UACGUAGGGUGCAAGCGUUGUCCGGAAUUAUUGGGCAUAAAGAGCUCGUAGGCGGCCUGUCGCGUCGGGAGUGAAAGCCCACUGCUUAACGGUGGGUCUGCUUCCGGUACGGGCGGGCUGGAGUAUGGCAGGGGAGACUGGAAUUCCUGGUGUAGCGGUGGAAUGCGCAGAUAUCAGGAGGAACACCGGUGGCGAAGGCGGGUCUCUGGGCCAUUACUGACGCUGAGGAGCGAAAGCGUGGGGAGCGAACAGG